AGAGUUGGUCAGGCAGUCGCUGUAUGAACUUGGUUUCAAGUGUUUAUACAGAGGAAAGUCCGGGCUCCACAGGGCAAGGUACCAGAUAACGUCUGGGGGGCGAAAGCCUACGGAAAGUGCAGCAGAAAAUAAACCGCCCAGCCCCUGAAUCUAAUAUUCAGGGGCUGGGUAAGGGUGAAAUGGUGCGGUAAGAGCGCACCGCGUGACUGGUAACAGGAGCGGCAUGGCAAACCCUACCUGGAGCAAGAUCAAAUAGAGGAGCAGACGCGCGGCUCGCGCGGCUCCUGGGUAGAUCGCUUGAGCUAUAAGGUGACUUAUGGCCUAGAUGAAUGACUGUCCUAGACAAAACCCGGCUUAUCGACCAACUCUA
rnacentral:RNase_P_RNA from 1 species